UCUGCCCAUCAGACGGGGACAACGAUUGGAAACGAUCGCUAAUACCGGAUAGGACGAAAGUUUAAAGGUGCUUCUGGCACCGCUGAUGGAUGAGCCUGCGGCGCAUUAGCUAGUUGGUAGGGUAAAGGCCUACCAAGGCGACGAUUGGUAGCCGGACUGAGAGGUUGAACGGCCACAUUGGGACUGAGACACGGCCCAGACUCCUACGGGAGGCAGCAGUGGGGGAUAUUGCACAAUGGGGGAAACCCUGAUGCAGCGACGCCGCGUGGAGGAAGAAGGUUUUCGGAUUGUAAACUCCUGUUGUUAGGGACGAUAAUGACGGUACCUAACAAGAAAGCACCGGCUAACUACGUGCCAGCAGCCGCGGUAAAACGUAGGGUGCAAGCGUUGUCCGGAAUUACUGGGUGUAAAGGGAGCGCAGGCGGACCGGCAAGUUGGAAGUGAAAACUAUGGGCUCAACCCAUAAAUUGCUUUCAAAACUGCUGGCCUUGAGUAGUGCAGAGGUAGGUGGAAUUCCCGGUGUAGCGGUGGAAUGCGUAGAUAUCGGGAGGAACACCAGUGGCGAAGGCGACCUACUGGGCACCAACUGACGCUGAGGCUCGAAAGCAUGGGUAGCAAACAGGAUUAGAUACCCUGGUAGUCCAUGCCGUAAACGAUGAUUACUAGGUGUUGGAGGAUUGACCCCUUCAGUGCCGCAGUUAACACAAUAAGUAAUCCACCUGGGGAGUACGACCGCAAGGUUGAAACUCAAAGGAAUUGACGGGGGCCCGCACAAGCAGUGGAGUAUGUGGUUUAAUUCGAAGCAACGCGAAGAACCUUACCAGGUCUUGACAUCCGAUGCAUAGUGCAGAGAUGCAUGAAGUCCUUCGGGACAUCGAGACAGGUGUGCAUGGUUGUCGUCAGCUCGUGUCGUGAGAUGUUGGGUUAAGUCCCGCAACGAGCGCAACCCUUAUUGCCAGUUACUACGCAAGAGGACUCUGGCGAGACUGCCGUUGACAAAACGGAGGAAGGUGGGGAGGACGUCAAAUCAUCAUGCCCUUUAUGACCUGGGCUACACACGUACUACAAUGGCGUUUAACAAAGAGAAGCAAGACCGCGAGGUGGAGCAAAACUCAAAAACAACGUCUCAGUUCAGAUUGCAGGCUGCAACUCGCCUGCAUGAAGUCGGAAUUGCUAGUAAUCGCGGAUCAGCAUGCCGCGGUGAAUACGUUCCCGGGCCUUGCACU
rnacentral:rRNA from 1 species